rnacentral:tRNA from 1 species
UCCCGGGUAGCGCAGCGGUAGCGCAGCGCGCUGUUAACGCGUUGGUCGUCGGUUCGAAUCCGACCCCGGGAGCAA